rnacentral:rRNA from 1 species
GAGGAAAAGAAACCAACAGGGAUUGCCUCAGUAACGGCGAGUGAAGCGGCAAAAGCUCAAAUUUUAAAGCUGGCAUCUUCGGUGUCCGCGUUGUAAUUUUGUGAGGCAUCUCCGGGUAGGGCGCCGGCCUAAGUUCCUUGGAACAGGACGUCACAGAGGGUGAGAAUCCCGUGCUUGGCUGGCUGUCCCCGUCCAUGUGAGGUGUCUUCGACGAGUCGAGUUGUUUGGGAAUGCAGCUCAAAAUGGGUGGUAAAUUUCAUCUAAAGCUAAAUAUUGGUGGGAGACCGAUAGCGCACAAGUAGAGUGAUCGAAAGAUGAAAAGCACUUUGAAAAUAGAGUUAAAAAGUACGUGAAAUUGUUGAAAGGGAAGCGCUUGAGACCAGACUUCGGUAGGGGGUGAUCACCCGUCCUUCUGGGCGGUGCACUUGCCCCCCUCCGGGCCAGCAUCGGUUGAGGCGGCGGGAUAAAGGUCCCGGGAAUGUGGCUCCUUCGCGGGAGUGUUAUAGCCCGGGUGAAUGCCGCCAGUCUCGACCGAGGACCGCACCCGCAAG